UUUUAUUUAAUUUUUUUUUUCUCCUGAGCAUUUUGAGAAAGAAUAAUUCUGAUCUGAUUUAUCGAUUAAGAAAAAAACAGGCAUCACCUGCAGAAGGCUGAUUAAGAGAUUUAAGUUUAAUUUGAUCAGUAAUAUGAUUGGCUGAAAAACGAAUUAAACCCAAUUACAGUGAAAUAAAAGGUUUUUUCAUAAUUUAUUUUAAUGGAAGCAUAAAAUCAUUUUGAGUGGGUAGCCAUAGCUGCAAAAUGCAUAUAUAUAUUCAUGAAUUUGUGUGUACAUAAGUGGUUGAAUAUGGUUCAGGCAUUUAUUGUUCUUGGAUUCUUUGUAAAGAGACAAAUCCGACUGGAACAGGAAAGUUAGAUUUUGACCUUCUGGACUCCAUUUUUUUUAUCAUUUGACUUUAAUUCAAACUCAAAUUAAAGAAUUUAAAAUAUUAAAAAUGAUUUUAAUACUACUAAUUAAAGGUUAUUAGCACUUUUAAUUUCGAUUUAGUGUCAUGUGUAAUGAUUUUCAAACUUCACGUGCUGCUCUAACUGGUAAUUCAAAUGUAGAUUACAAUUCAAAGUGAGAUUUUGACAGCAUUUAAAAAGUAAACAAUUAUAUAAAACUAGCAUUCCAUUUAACAAAAAAAAAAAAAAGAUUUU
rnacentral:misc_RNA from 1 species